rnacentral:misc_RNA from 1 species
UCUCCGUUGGUGAACCAGCGGAGGGAUCAUUGCUGGAACAAACGCCCUCACGGGUGCUACCCAGAAACCCUUUGUGAAUCAUACCUACAACUGUUGCCUCGGCUUUGGUUGGCCUCUAAUGAGGUCCCUAUUCUUUUUUCUAAAAAGUGUAGGAGCAGACCGGCCGGUGGCCCUAUAAACUCUUUGUUUUUGUAAAUCAUCUGAGUAACUAAAAAGUAAAUAAUCAAAACUUUCAACAACGGAUCUCUUGGUUCUGGCAUCGAUGAAGAACGCAGC